rnacentral:misc_RNA from 1 species
AACAUCGCGCACCUGCGGGAACCUGCGGAAGGAUCAUUAACGAAUAACUAUGGUGUUGGUUGUCGCUGGCUCCUAGGAGCAUUGUGCACGCCCGCCAUUUUUAUCUUUCCACCUGUGCACUUAGUGUAGAUCUGGAUACCACUCGCUUUCCCAAGCGGACUCAGAGAUUGCUGUGUCGCAAGACCCGGCUCUCUUUGAAUUUCCAGGUCUAUGUCUUUUUUACACACCCCAAUUGAAUGA